rnacentral:rRNA from 1 species
AGUGAACGCUGGCGGUAGGCCUAACACAUGCAAGUCGAACGGCAGCACAGUAAGAGCUUGCUCUUACGGGUGGCGAGUGGCGGACGGGUGAGGAAUACAUCGGAAUCUACUUUUUCGUGGGGGAUAACGUAGGGAAACUUACGCUAAUACCGCAUACGACCUACGGGUGAAAGCAGGGGAUCUUCGGACCUUGCGCGAUUGAAUGAGCCGAUGUCGGAUUAGCUAGUUGGCGGGGUAAAGGCCCACCAAGGCGACGAUCCGUAGCUGGUCUGAGAGGAUGAUCAGCCACACUGGAACUGAGACACGGUCCAGACCCCUACGGGAGGCGGCAGUGGGGAAUAUUGGACAAUGGGCGCAAGCCUGAUCCAGCCAUACCGCGUGGGUGAAGAAGGCCUUCGGGUUGUAAAGCCCUUUUGUUGGGAAAGAAAAGCAGCAGGUUAAUACCCCGCUGUUCUGACGGUACCCAAAGAAUAAGCACCGGCUAACUUCGUG